rnacentral:snRNA from 1 species
CAUGGUCAACGGGUGUGGCCUGU